CUUUUCCAAGCAAGUGCGUCGAGACAUCAUCAUAACAUCGAGUCUCCCGAGAUGAUCAGCUCCACAAGGUUGAACGCCGACGAUUGAACAAGGAGGGGUUUGCAUCAGAGAGGAUCUUACCAGUACAGGUUUCCUCCGAAAGCAUAGUAGCUUCAAAGGUUGGUUUAGAAGCAGAGACAUGAGUAAGAUGUUGUUACCGAAAUGCAAAGGCUGCAAGAGAUUUUGUAGAAUUAGGUAUUGCACUAACUUGAGUUUAUUGAUUCACAAAGUGUGAUAUUUAUACAAGAGAGUCAUCGUAUAAAAUAAACUCGAAUCCCUAAAUUAUAGGACAUAACUCUGUCACAAAAUAUAUCACAAGAGAUUCUACUCUAUCCCCAAUACUCCCCCUCAGGUUGGAGUGUGAAGAUUCUGAAUACCCAACUUGGACAUAAGAUAAAUGAAUUGAUUACGACCAAGAGCCUUA
rnacentral:sRNA from 1 species